rnacentral:misc_RNA from 13 species
UGUUAUUUUUAGUGGCACAAUUAUCUUUUAGUAUUAUCGCAAAUUUCAGUAUUUUAUUAUCUUGUAGCAUUUGGCGUGAAUCUAAAGUUUUCCACACAGCUUACACGCUCUAUUUUCCAAAUGAUCACCUCAAUUUUUGCCCAUCGUGUUACCUCCUACAAAUGGGAUUACUGGUCACGACCACAGCAAGGACCUCCGAUUGCAACCUGUCUCUCAUCACAGGGUUAUCCAUUUUGUGCAAACAGCAGCGGAGACGUAGCCCCAAAAGUCAAUCAGUCUGAAAAUUAUAAAUGCAAAUUGAUGAAGGCGGUGAGGCUGGCAGCUCAUUGAUUACCGAGAUCCCAAGGAGCAUAAACAAUGGCCCACCUCGCAGAGCACGCACGACCAUCGACGUGGCCAAGACGGAUGGACAGUAUAUAACAAUUAGAAGUUUCCUGCUCAUCCAUGGAGUCGUGGGCUUUGGGGAGGGACCAGGAUGAUUGAAUGAUAAAUAGGCCGAUGGAUUGAAGAGUGCGCCACCCAAUCGGCACAACUUAAUUUUCAAUCAAUGCACAAAACCAGAACAAAAGGCUUGCCAAAACCGGCGGAGGAACAACCGGCAGCAGGAGGAACUGGGACCAGACUGCAGUUGAGGCGACUGUUUUAUGGUGCACUGGGAAGAAGUAGCUGCGACUAAGCCAAACCAAACCAAGGCAUUUGGCUGAGAUAAGCGAGCUGCAGAGCUAACGGUCUUUUUUUGUAUGGGGCAGUUGCAAGUGGAGGGGAAUUCGGUGGUAUAAUGGCCAAGACGCAUGCGUGGCACUGCGGACCUGGCCAAAAACAGAGCAAAGAAGGCCAGACACGCAGCAGGCGGCCAGAUGGAGCGAAACUAAGUCAAACAUUUGUAGAACACGGCGGAGAAUCCAGCGAAAAGGGGUCUCUGGACAUCUAAGAUCUCCCGGGGGAAAUGCGGAUGGAAAAGUGGAAAAUUUAUGGGCCCCAAAAGGCGAAUAGAUGUCGUAGAUUUCGCAUGCUACAACGAAUAGUUAAUAGUUGAGGAUGGGGAUUUGGCCAAAAACCUACCAUGUAGAUGCCUGGAUAUACGUAAAAUAUGGGUUGGAGGAAUUGAUAGUUGCCCACAACAAGAUAACCAUCUUUUUCUUAGAUAACAAAAAAAAAAAAUACCAAAGCCAUUUGUGAACUUCCCUUGAACUCCGUUAGUCGACCAGAAGUGCCUUUUAAUUGGUUCAAAUCGCAAUUUGCAUAGACCAUUUGCAGAAGUUAUCGCCCGGAGGUCCGACAUUCGAAACGGGUCCAGGUUUCCAUUCGGGGAUCCUGGUUACCAGCGGCUACAUGUGGCAACAUUUUAGUGAUAAGCCGCAGCAAAAAUGUUGGCCAAGUCGGCACACAGCUGUCGAAUCCGCAUUUGGCCAAGCUCCAAUCUCGAAAAGCAAGCCCCAUCCCCUCGACGCUGUCGCUUUUGUGGCAUUUGUAUUGGCAAAUCAAUGAUAAUGGCAUUUAUUUGAGCCAACUCCGCUACGCUCGUCGUGCGGCUCUUACCCAAAUCCGUUAAUAAGCCAUUUUGACAAAUUGGAUGAUUGCCGCGCAAUCAUUCGCCUGCCAGGAGCAGAUGGGACAUCCCAGCCAGCUCCCGGCAAUUCGGAAAGUGUGGCGAAAGUGAAGAUAAAAUGUCAAGCAAACAACUUCGUGGCCGAUACGGAAAAUGGCGUCCAAAUGGGAUCUGACUGCGAAUGGGUAGCAGAAAUCUGGUGGCAAUGGUAAUGAUACCAUAAUAUUAU